GUUUCAAUUCCUCAUAGGCAGGCUAUCGGCAAACAUUCUUUUUACGGCUGAAUGGUGGUUCGGCUUG
rnacentral:sRNA from 1 species